rnacentral:rRNA from 1 species
GACAGAGGGUGCAAACGUUGUUCGGAUUUACUGGGCGUAAAGCGCGUGUAGGCGGCUUUGCAAGUCGGAUGUGAAAGCCCACGGCUCAACCGUGGAAGUGCAUCCGAAACUGCAUGGCUUGAGUCUCGGAGAGGAAGGUGGAAUUCCAGGUGUAGCGGUGAAAUGCGUAGAUAUCUGGAGGAACACCGGUGGCGAAGGCGGCAUCCUGGACCAAUUCUGACGCUGAGGAGCGAAAGCCAGGGGAGCAAACGGG